rnacentral:rRNA from 1 species
UACGAAGGGGGCGAGCGUUGUUCGGAUUUACUGGGCGUAAAGAGCGCGCAGGCGGUCGUUCAAGUCGCGUGUGAAAGCCCCCGGCUCAACUGGGGAGGGUCACGCGAUACUGAUCGACUCGAAGGCAGGAGAGGGUAGUGGAAUUCCCGGUGUAGUGGUGAAAUGCGUAGAUAUCGGGAGGAACACCAGUGGCGAAGGCGACUACCUGGCCUGUUCUUGACGCUGAGGCGCGAAAGCUAGGGGAGCAAACGGGG